rnacentral:sRNA from 1 species
GUCAAACACAUAUAAAUAGAAGUCUGUUAUCUUCUUCUUCUUCAUUCCGUUAGAAAGUUGUUACGAUCUCUCUUAAACCCAGAAAAUUAGGGUUCUUCAUUGAUCUUGUAUUGAGCUCAGA